GACGAACGCUGGCGGCGUGCUUAACACAUGCAAGUCGAACGAUGAACCCGGAGCUUGCUCCGGCGGAUUAGUGGCGAACGGGUGAGUAACACGUGAGUAACCUGCCCUUGACUCUGGGAUAACUGCUAGAAAUGGUAGCUAAUACCGGAUACGACCCUCGGUGGCAUCACCAGGGGGUGGAAAGAAUUUCGGUCAAGGAUGGACUCGCGGCCUAUCAGCUAGUUGGUGAGGUAACGGCUCACCAAGGCGACGACGGGUAGCCGGCCUGAGCGGGUGACCGGCCACACUGGGACUGAGACACGGCCCAGACUCCUACGGGAGGCAGCAGUGGGGAAUAUUGGACAAUGGGCGCAAGCCAGAUGCAGCGACGCCGCGUGAGGGAUGACGGCCUUCGGGUUGUAAACCUCUUUCAGCAUCGACGAAGCGAAAGUGACGGUAGGUGCAGAAGAAGGACCGGCCAACUACGUGCCAGCCGCCGCGGUAA
rnacentral:rRNA from 1 species